rnacentral:lncRNA from 1 species
GUAUUGCCUUUUCCCGUGGAAAUAUUUGCCCUUACCUUGAAACCAACUCGACAUUUCGUGGGACAGCAAUCUAGUUGUCUCCACCAGUGAUGGAUGCUGGCCGGUUAAAACGGUGUGCCGACGGCUCUGAGUCACAGCGUUUCUGCUCGACGUCCCGAACCCCUGCCCUCGAGCCGGAUCCGUGCAGCUCUCUCUCCGUGGCCGUUAACCGCAACAGCGCGUGCACUUGCUCGUGGAGCAUCUGCCAUGGAGAAAAAAGCGUCGGUGUUUUGGCACUUAGGGUGGACGAACUCAAGCGCAACAAACUACUUCAUCUGUAUGGAAAUACCAAUCAGGUCGGUGAGGAAAGCGUGGCAUCUACCGCCAUAGCAUCAUCAGUAGCCCUGUCCCCGUGACUCGGCCCCGCCCCCCGAGAGGCUCAGCCGUAAUCGAGAUCAGGUACCAAACGGUGAGCGCGUUCUUCGCGUACACGUUCAGUUUCGGGUACACGUAUCCUGCAUACCGCCCCCACAACUUUGUGCCUGGUGACAUUCUCUGGGAGUAGGGGAGCAAACGGGCUUUUAGGCAUUCUUUACUGGGAAAACCAGCAGAAUCUGCGCAGGCCGGAGGGACUCAAUGCGCAUUUUUUUUUUCGAUUGUGACGCACCGGAUGUAUGGGGGAGUAAGUGACCCAGUUUCGCCUGCGGGGAACGUCGGCGACGUGGUACCAUGCAACCGAGGUUUGCCGUGCCCAAGAGCGGAAUCUUUCUGUGGCUGUCUCCUGACACGCGCGGAUAAUCGGCUCGGGCUCUCCACAUUCUGAGUAUCAACCAUUCAUACGAUUUAGCAGCACAACGAUGGCAGGUGGCGACGCUUCUACUAGGAAGACCCG